GACGAACGCUGGCGGCGUGCUUAACACAUGCAAGUCGAACGGAAAGGCCCCUUUGGGGGUCCUCGAGUGGCGAACGGGUGCGUAACACGUGAGUAACCUGCCCUUGACUUCGGGAUAACUUCAGGAAACUGGGGCUAAUACCGGAUAGGAAUCCUUGCUGCAUGGUGGGGGUUGGAAAGCUUCGGCGGCUUUGGAUGGACUCGCGGCUUAUCAGCUUGUUGGUGGGGUAGUGGCUUACCAAGGCUUUGACGGGUAGCCGGCCUGAGAGGGCGAGCGGCCACAUUGGGACUGAGAUACGGCCCAGACUCCGACGGGAGGCAGCAGUGGGGAAGAUUGCACAAUGGGCGGAAGCCGGAUGCAGCAACGCCGCGGGCUGGAUGACGGCCUUCGGGUUGUAAACCGCUUUCAGCAGGGGCGAAGCUUGUGGUGACGGUACCUGCAGAAGAAGCACCGGCUAACUACGUG
rnacentral:rRNA from 1 species